rnacentral:rRNA from 1 species
AACGCGAAGAACCUUACCUACUUUUGAAUCCACGGAAUCUGGUAGAGAUACUGGAGUGCCUUCGGGAACCGUGAGACAGGUGCUGCAUGGCUGUCGUCAGCUCGUGUCGUGAGAUGUUGGGUUAAGUCCCGUAACGAGCGCAACCCUUGUCCUUAGUUACCAUCGAGUAAAGUCGGGGACUUUAAGGAGACUGCCGGUGAUAAACCGGAGGAAGGUGGGGAUGACGUCAAGUCCUCAUGGCCCUUACAAGUAGGGCUACACACGUGCUACAAUGGCCGGUACAAAGGGUAGCGAACCUGCGAAGGGGAGCCAAUCUCAAAAAGCCGGUCGUAGUCCGGAUUGGAGUCUGCAACUCGACUCCAUGAAGUUGGAAUCGCUAGUAAUCGUGGAUCAGCACGCCACGGUGAAUACGUUCCCGGGCCUUGUACACACCGACAUA